rnacentral:lncRNA from 1 species
AUAGCUGCAUCGAGUGGCUCGAUAGACAAGCCCCUAACUCUGUUCUCUAUGUCAGCUUGGGUAGCCUAGUGAGGAUUGAUCACAAAGAGUUGAUUGAGACUGCUUGGGGAUUAGCUAAUAGCGAUCAACCGUUCUUGUGGGUUAUUCGACCUGGCUCUGUCUCUGGCUUUCAAUGUGCUGAGGCACUGCCUGAUGGUUUUGAGAAAAUGGUAGGAGAAAGAGGACGAAUAGUGAAAUGGGCACCACAAAAACAGGUGCUUGCACAUCCCGCGGUAGCAGGGUUUUUCACUCAUUGUGGUUGGAAUUCUACGCUUGAAAGUAUAUGUGAAGAAGUCCCUAUGGUGUGCAGGCCAUUUCUAGCAGACCAACUGGUGAACGCAAGGUAUCUGAGCCAAAUAUACAAGGUUGGGUUCGAAUUGGAGGUUAUCGAGAGAACGGUCAUAGAGAAAACAAUAAGAAAACUCAUGUUAAGUGAAGAAGGCAAAGAUGUGAAGAAAAGAGUAGCAGACAUGAAACAAAAGAUAGUUGCUGGAAUGCAGAUUGAUUGCACUUCACAUAAGAAUCUGAAUGAUUUGGUAGACUUCAUUUCUGCCUUGCCAUCACGACUCGCUCCGCCAACGCCUGUCUUUGGGGCAAUCAUGAGCUCAAACCACAUAGCAAGCAAGUGUAUCAUAGAGUCUUGAAGUUAUUUUUGAGCUCAAACCAUAUUUCUGUGGCCCCUUAGCUUGGCAAGACAAUAAGUCCUUAAUCACAAAAGGAAGAAUAAGAUAAGAAGUGAACUUUUCAUAAAUCCAUGGUGCAAAUGCUGAAGCAAUUUACUUUAGUUUGUUGAUUGGUUUAUAAGUUGGGAACCUUGACAUAUUGUUUUCUAGUUGGUAGGAAAAUAUUUUCGUGGAAAAUAAAUGAUUUUCAAACUUAUUUUUUAGUUUUUGAUUAGUAAAGAAUAUUAUUGUCCCAAGAGUAUCUAUGUACACCUAGAUCUGGAACCACCCUAUAACAUAAACACGGACUUGACUCGACCUGACCUUACCCCAACACUGACCUAAGACAAAACCCUGACCUCAACACCGACUCAAAACUUGAUCCUCGACCAGACUAUGACCUAACCUUAACCUAGGAUCUGACAACUGACCCCAUGUCACGAACUGCAAUCCGAAGUUAACUCUGGACCUAACCUCAACCUAGAUCCAUGACCCCGUCCAGAGACCUCAACCACAAACUCCUGACCCCAAUCCCGGGUCCCAACUUGACCCAAGAGUAUAGGAAAAAUGCACAAGUACCCCCUCAACCUAUGCCCGAAAUCACAAAGCCACACUUAUACUAUACUAAGGUCCUAUUACUCCCUGAACUUAUUAAGUAAUUUUUUACCCCUUUUUGGCCUACGUGGCACUAGUUUGAAAAAAAUGUCAACCAGCGUUGGGCCCACAAGAUAGUCUCAUGUAGGCCGAAAAGGAGUAGAAAAUUGUUAACAAAAUAAGUUCUGCGGGGUAAUAGGACCUUAGUUUAGUUUAAGUAUGUCUCUGAGAUUUCGGGCAUAGGUUGGGGGUACUUGUGCAUUAUCCCAAUAUUGAUUUUGUUUUCAACUCAUUUGAUACUAGAUAUUUAUAUGGACAUUCGAUUAUGAGUGACUUCAUAAGUGAGUAACUGUUAAAAUAAAAAUCAAAAUUGUGUGACAUUGUAAGUAAAAUACUCAUAGUUGAGUAACCUUUGGAAUGAAAUUCAAAGUUGAGUAGCUUUCUGAGAUAAAAUGAAGUUUUUACCUUAAUAAUACAAAGGUAAAACAAAUUAAAUUAAGUAGUACAAAAAUUGUAAAUAAAGUUUUUACCUUAAUAAUACAAAGGUAAACCAAGUCAAACUAACCAAUACAAAAUUUGUAAAUGAAGUUUUGACCUUAAUAAUACAAAGGUAAAGCAAGUCAAACUAACCAAUACAAAAUUUGUAAAUGAAGUUUUGACCUUAAUAAUACAAAGGUAAAGCAAGUCAAACUAACCAAUACAAAAUUUGUAAAUGACGUUUUGAUCUUUAAUAAUACAAAGGUAAACCAAGUCAAACUAACCAAUACAAAAUUUGUAAAUAAAGUUUUUACCUUAAUAAUACAAAGGUAAACCAAGUCAAACUAACCAAUACAAAAUUUGCAAAUGAAGCUUUGACCAUUAAUAAUACAAAGGUAAACCAAGUCAAACUAACCAAUACAAAAUUUGUAAAUGAAGUUUUGACCUUAAUAAUACAAAGGUAAAGCAAGUCAAACUAACCAAUACAAAAUUUGUAAAUGACGUUUUGAUCUUUAAUAAUACAAAGGUAAACCAAGUCAAACUAACCAAUACAAAAUUUGUAAAUAAAGUUUUUACCUUAAUAAUACAAAGGUAAACCAAGUCAAACUAACCAAUACAAAAUUUGCAAAUGAAGUUUUGACCAUUAAUAAUACAAAGGUAAACCAAGUCAAACUAACCAAUACAAAAUUUGUAAAUGAAGUUUUGACCUUAAUAAUACAAAGGUAAAGCAAGUCAAACUAACCAAUACAAAAUUUGUAAAUGACGUUUUGAUCUUUAAUAAUACAAAGGUAAACCAAGUCAAACUAACCAAUACAAAAUUUGUAAAUAAAGUUUUUACCUUAAUAAUACAAAGGUAAACCAAGUCAAACUAACCAAUACAAAAUUUGCAAAUGAAGUUUUGACCAUUAAUAAUACAAAGGUAAACCAAGUCAAACUAACCAAUACAAAAUUUGUAAAUGAAGUUUUUACCUUAAUAAUACAAAGGUAAACCAAGUCAAACUAACCAAUACAAAAUUUGUAAAUGAAGAUUUGAACUUAAUAAUACAAAGGUAAAACAAAUUAAAUUAACUAGUACAAAAUUAACAAUACUUAUAUAUAUAAACUUCCUUCAAAAACACAAUUACUGAACUCUUGAAUAGAAGAGAAACUCAAUAAAACAAAGAUGAAAACUCAAAGAAAACAGAGUGUAGUACUAGUACCACUUCCAUGCCAGGGGCAUUUAACACCAAUGCUGCAGCUUGGAAGUAUCCUUCAUUCUCAAGGCUUUUCUGUUAUAAUAGCUCAUCCUGAAUUCAAUACUCCUAAAUAUUCCAAUCAUCCUGAAUUCGUCUUCCAUUCUAUGGAUGACGUAUUAAAGGGAAUCAACAUAUCAUCACCGAGUCUAGAGAACAUAUAUCAUUUGAAUGAGAACUGCAAGGUGCCUCUCAGAAACUACCUUGUUAAGAAGAUGAAAGAGGAAGGUGAUCAGCUUGCUUGUAUCGUUUAUGAUAAUGUCAUGAUUUUCGUUGAUGAUGUAGCCACUCAGUUAAGGCUUCCCAGCAUUGUCCUGCACACUUCCAGUGCUGCAUAUCUGCACUCCAUGAUCACCAUUUUUCAGCAACCAGAAAAAUAUUUUCCUUUCGAAGGUAUGAGAACAAACACAUCCUCUGAUUCAAGAAUUUAAUGAAAAAUCAUUUCGAUAACAAUAACUAUGCUUCAGUCACAAAGUUCCCUCGUUACAUUCAUCACAAGCCAACAUUAUAGAAAAUAAAAAUAAAAAUAAAAAUGAAAGGCACCCUUUACUUGUCGUCCUUACAAAAAAUAGAUAGUCCAAGAUAAUUGUCACUUCAGAAAACCAAGAUAUAAUUAACUAAUAGUUUUCGCUUUUAUCUUUACUCAAUAAAUGUGGAAAGAAAUUAAUGUGGUGGAAAAGAUAGUAGUAUUAAAUUGAGAUCAAAUUACACUUUUAGUUAUUGUUUUCUUAUGGGACGUGCAAAAAAAAUGACAAGUAAAAUGGAACAAAGUGAGUGCAGCAAGUAUAAUUCAGCCUAUAAUAUUUUUCUUCCAUUAUGUUGUAUCAGUUCGCUUAAGUUUGUAUUAAUUACUCACUACGAUUCCAGAUUCUCAGUUGUUGGAUCCGUUACCAGAGCUUCAUCCCUUGAGGUUUAAGGAUGUACCAAUUCCUGCUGUUAAUAAUACAGUUGCAGAACCGGUACUAGACUUCUUUAAAGCAAUCAACAAUAUAGGGUCAUCUGUUGCGACUAUUUGGAAUACGAUGCAAGACAUGGAGUAUCCAAUAUUGUUACGCCUUCAAGAACAUAACAAGGUGCCCUUCUAUGCAAUAGGCCCUUUUCACAAAAUGGCGCCUAUGGCCUCAUCGACUAGCAUACUAGAAGAAGAUAAUAGCUGCAUCAUGUGGCUCGACAGACAAGUUCCUAACUCUGUUCUUUAUGUCAGCAUAGGUAGCCAAAUGAGGAUUAAUGACAAAGAGCUAACUGAGACUGCUUGGGGAUUAGCUAAUAGUGAUCAACCAUUCUUGUGGGUUAUUCGACCGGGCUCUGUCUCUGGCUUUCAAUGUGCUGAGGCACUGCCUGAUGGUUUUGAGAAAAUGGUAGGAGAAAGAGGACGAAUAGUGAAAUGGGUGCCACAAAAACAGGUGCUUGCACAUCCCGCGGUAGCAGGGUUUUUCACUCAUUGUGGUUGGAGUUCUACGCUUGAAAGUAUAUGUGAAGAAGUCCCUAUGAUAUGCAGGCCAUUUCUAGCAGACCAACUGGUGAACGCUAGGUAUCUGAGCCAAAUAUACAAGGUUGGAUUCGAAUUGGAGGCUAUCGAGAGAACGGUCAUAGAGAAAACAAUAAGAAAACUCAUGUUAAGUGAAGAAGGCAAAGAUGUGAAGAAAAGAGUAGUAGACAUGAAACAAAAGAUAGUUGCUGGAAUGCAGAUUGAUGGCACUUCACAAAAGAAUCUGAAUGAUUUGGUAGACUUCAUUUCUGCCUUGCCAUCACGGCUCCCUCCGCCAACACCUGUUGUUGGGGCAUUCGAUACAUCAAGCAAGUAUAUCAGAGAGUCCUGAAGUUAGAAGAAAUACAUAUUUUUGUUGCCUGCUAUCUUAGCAAGACAAUAAGUCCUUAAUCACAAAAGGAAGAAUAAGAUAAGAAGUGAACUUUUCAUAAAUCCAUGGUGCAAAUGCUGAAGCAAUUUACUUUAGUUUGUUGAUUGGUUUAUAAGUUGGGAACCUUGACAUAUUGUUUCAUAGUUGGUAGGAAAAUAUUUUCGUGGAAAAUAAAUGAUUUUUCAUACUUAUUUUCUAGUUUUUGAUUAGUAAAGAAUAUUAUUGUCCCAAGAGUAUCUCUGUACACCUAGAUCUGGAACCACCCUAUAACAUAGACACGGACUUGACUCGACCCGACCUCACCCCAACACUGAUGUAAGACAAAACCCUGACCUCAAUACCGACUCAAAACUUGAUCCUCGACCAGACUCUGACCUAACCUUAACCUAGGAUCUGACAACUGACCCAUGCCACGAACUGCAAUCCGAAGUUAACUCUGGACCUAACCUCAACCUAGAUCCAUGACCCCGUCCAGAGACCUCAACCCUAACUCCUGACCCCAAUCCUGGGUCCCAACUUGACCCAAGAGUAUUGAUUGAUUUUGUUUUCAACUCAUCUGAUAUUCGAUAUUUAUAUGGACAUUCGAUUAUGAGUGACUUCAUAAGUGAGUAACUGUUGGAAUAAAAAUCAAAAUUAGGUGAUUUUAUAAGUAAAACACUCAUAGUUGAGUGACCUUUGGAAUAAAAUUCAACGUUGAGUAGCUUUGUGAGAUAAAAUGAAGUUCUGACAUUAAUAAUACUAAGGUAAAACAAAUUGUAUCAACUAGUACAAAAAAUUUGUAAAGGGAGUUUUGACCUUAAUACAAAGGUAAAACAAAUGAAAUUAAGUACUACAAAAAUUGUAAAUGAAGUUUUGACCUUAAUAAUACAAAGGUAAAGCAAAUCAAACUGACCAGUACAAAAUUUGUAAAUGAAGUUUUGACCUUAAUAAUACCAAAGUUAAAACAAAUUCAAUUAACUAGUACAAAAUUAACAAUACUUGUGUAUAUAAACUUCCUUCAAGAACACAAUUACUGAACUCUUGAAUAGAAGAGAAACUCAAGAAAAAAAAGAUGAAAAUUCAAAGAAAACAGAGUGUAGUACUAGUACCACUUCCAUUCCAGGGGCAUUUAACACCAAUGCUGCAGCUUGGAAGUAUCCUUUAUUCUCAAGGCUUUUCUGUUAUAAUAGCACAUCCUGAAUUGAAUACUCCUAAAUAUUCCAAUCAUCCUGAAUUCGUCUUCCAUUCUAUGGAUGAUGGAUUAAAGGGAAUCAACAUAUCAUUACCGAGUCUAGAGAACAUAUAUGAUUUGAAUGAGAACUGCAAGGUGCCUCUCAGAAACUACCUUGUUAAGAAGAUGAAAGAGGAAGGUGAUCAGCUUGCUUGUAUCGUUUAUGAUAAUGUCAUGAUUUUCGUUGAUGAUGUAGCCACUCAGUUAAGGCUUCCCAGCAUUGUCCUGCACACUUCCAGUGCUGCAUAUCUGCACUCCAUGAUCACCAUUUUUCAGCAACCAGAAAAAUAUUUUCCUUUCGAAGGUAUGAGAACAAACACAUCCUCUGCUUCAAGAUUUUAAUGAAAAAUCAUUUCGAUAACAAUAACUAUGCUUCAGUCACAAAGUUCCCUCAUUACAUUCAUCACAAACCAACAUUAUAGAAAAUAAAAAUAUAAAUAUAAAUGAAAGGCACCCUUUCCAGUCGAUGUUACUUGUCGUCCUUACAAAAAAUAGAUGGUCCAAGAUAAUUAUCACUUCAGAAAACCAAGAUAUAAUUAACUAAUAGUUUUCACUUUUAUCUUUUACUCAAUAAAUGUGAAAAGAAAUUAACGUGGUGGAAAAGAUAGUAGUAUUAAAUUGAGAUCAAAUAAUUAGGAUAAUUUGGUCAAAUUACACUUUUAGUUAUUGUUUUCUUAUGGGGCGUGCAAAAAAAAAAGACAAGUAAAAUGGAACAGAGUGAGUGCAGCUAGUAUAAUUCAGCCCAUAAUCUUUUUCUUCCAUUAUGUUGUAUCAGUUCGCUUAAGUUUGUAUUAAUUACUCACUACAAUUCCAGAUUCUCAGUUGUUGGAUCCGUUACCAGAGCUUUAUCCCUUGAGGUUUAAGGAUGUACCAAUUCCUGCUGUAUAUAAUACAGUUGCAGAACCGGUACUAGACUUCUUUAAAGCAAUCAACAAUAUAGGGUCAUCUGUUGCGACUAUUUGGAACACGAUGCAAGACAUGGAGAAUCCAAUAUUGUUACGCCUUCAAGAACAUUACAAGGUGCCCUUCUAUGCAAUAGGCCCUUUUCACAAAAUGGCGCCUACGGCCUCAUCGACUAGCAUACUACAAGAAGAUGAUAGCUGCAUCAAGUGGCUCGACAGACAAGUUCCUAACUCUGUUCUUUAUGUCAGCAUAGGUAGCCAAAUGAGGAUUAAUGACAAAGAGCUAACUGAGACUGCUUGGGGAUUAGCUAAUAGUGAUCAACCAUUCUUGUGGGUUAUUCGACCGGGCUCUGUCUCUGGCUUUCAAUGUGCUGAGGCACUGCCUGAUGGUUUUGAGAAAAUGGUAGGAGAAAGAGGACGAAUAGUGAAAUGGGCGCCACAAAAACAGAUACUUGCACAUCCCGCGGUAGCAGGGUUUUUCACUCAUUGUGGUUGGAAUUCUACGCUUGAAAGUAUAUGUGAAGAAGUCCCUAUGAUAUGCAGGCCAUUUCUAGCCGACCAGCCGGUGACAGCUAGGUAUCUGAGCCACAUGUACAAGGUUGGGUUCGAAUUGGAGGUUAUCGAGAGAACGGUCAUAGAGAAAACAGUAAGAAAGCUCAUGUUAAGUGACGAAGGCAAAG